rnacentral:rRNA from 1 species
UAGCGUAGGGUGCAAGCGUUGUCCGGAAUUAUUGGGCGUAAAGAGCUCGUAGGCGGUUUGUCGCGUCUGCUGUGAAAAACCCGAGGCUCAACCUCGGGCCUGCAGUGGGUACGGGCAGACUAGAGUGCGGUAGGGGAGAUUGGAAUUCCGUGGUGUAGCGGUGAAAAUGCGCAGAAUAUCAGGAGGAACACCAACGGCGAAAAGCACUCUGCUGGGCCGACACUGACACUGAAGAGACGGAAAGCUAGGGGGAGCGAAACGGG